GAUUUCAACUAAAAAAGUCAUCAACAACAAAGUUGUAUAAAUCAUCAAGAUCUAUAACUUUUAUUUUGGUCAUUCCUUCAUCUGACAAAGUGAUAGUAACCUUGUUCACAAAAUUUACAUCUCUCAUUUGGUUUUAUAAACUAUAAGAGAGAUAUGUAAAUUUUGUGAAAAAUGUUACUAUCACUUUGUCGGGUGAAGAAAUAACCAAAAUAAAAGUUGUAUGUCUUGAUGAGUUCUACAACUUUUAUGUUCAUGACUUUUUCAGCUGAAAUU
rnacentral:pre_miRNA from 1 species